AUGGAACAAAUGAUUGAACAGCCACAACCACCUGAAGGUGAUGAGGCUACUACAGGCACAAUGUCACCUCUUGCUGCAGCGCGUCAGUAUCUCUCCACUAACAGUGCAAAAAGCACCUUCCUGCGUAAUUCUGGGUUGGUUGUCAAGGUAUCCUCGUCCAAAUCACCUACUGAACAAAAUCUUCCUGCUAGACAGAAUGAUAUAUCUGUGCUCCAGACACAAGUCCAAUCCCUAAUGGACAUUGUUUCGGAAACAAGAAUAGUGGUUGAGAAAUGUCGUCAAGAUAUGAAUGGUUUUGAAACUAGACUAUCAGACAUUCGCUUCGUUGUUCAAGAGCAAUGGCGGAAAAAGUGGAGAUCGUGCUGCUCCAUCAGAUUCUACAGCAUGAAACAUUAG
rnacentral:rRNA from 1 species